rnacentral:rRNA from 1 species
UAGGGAAUCUUCGGCAAUGGGGGGAACCCUGACCGAGCAACGCCGCGUGAGUGAAGAAGGUUUUCGGAUCGUAAAGCUCUGUUGUUAAGGAAGAACGAGUGUGAGAAUGGAAAGUUCAUACUGUGACGGUACUUAACCAGAAAGGGACGGCUAACUACGCGCCAGCAGCCGCGGUAAUACGUAGGGGGCUAGCGUUGUCCGGAAUCACUGGGCGUAAAGGGUUCGCAGGCGGAAAUGCAAGUCAGGUGUAAAAGGCAGUAGCUUAACUACUGUAAGCAUUCGAAACUGCAUAUCUUGAGAAGAGUAGAGGUAAGUGGAAUUUUUAGUGUAGCGGGGAAAUGCGUAGAUAUUAAAAAGAAUACCGGUGGCGAAGGCGACUUACUGGGCUCAUUCUGACGCUGAGGAACGAAAGCGUGGGUAGCAAACAGG